rnacentral:rRNA from 15 species
UAACGACUCUCGGCAACGGAUAUCUCGGCUCUCGCAUCGAUGAAGAACGUAGCGAAAUGCGAUACUUGGUGUGAAUUGCAGAAUCCCGUGAACCAUCGAGUCUUUGAACGCAAGUUGCGCCCAAAGCCGUUAGGCUGAGGGCACGUCUGCCUGGGUGUCACG